rnacentral:rRNA from 1 species
GACGAACCGAGCGACCGUUGUUCGGAAUCACUGGGCUUAAAGGGCGCGUAGGCGGUGGUCCAAGUCUGGUGUGAAAUCUCCCGGCUCAACUGGGAGGGUGCGCCGGAAACUGGGCCGCUGGAGUAUGGGAGAGGCAAGCGGAAUUCCAGGCGUAGCGGUGAAAUGCGUAGAUAUCUGGAGGAACACCCGUGGUGCAGACGGCUUGCUGGACCAUGACUGACGCUGAGGCACGAAAGCGUGGGUAGCAAACAGG